GGUUCGAUCCUGGCUCAGAUUGAACGCUGGCGGAUGCUUUCACCACAUGUGAUCGAACGGCAGCACGGACUUCAGUCCUGGUGGCGAGUGGCGAACGGGUGAGUAAUGUAUCGGAACGUGCCUGGUAGCGGGGAUAACUACGCGAAAGCGUAGCUAUUACCGCAUACGCCCUUCGGGGAAAGCGGGGGGACCUUCGGGCCUCACUAUUAGAGCGGCCGAUAUCGGAUUGGCUAGUUGGUGGGGUAACGUACAGGCGACGAUCCGUAGCUGGUUUGAGGGAGGACGACCAGCCGCAGGACUGAGACACGGACUCUACGGGAGGCAGCAGUGGGGAAUUUUUUGGACCAAUAAGGAAACCUGAUCCAGCCAUCCCGCGUGUGCGAUGAAGGCCUUCGGGUUGUAAAGCACUUUUGGCGGAAGAAACGGCACGGGAUAAUACCCCGUGCAGCGGCCAAUACCUGCAGAAUAAGCACCGGCUAACUGCGUGCCCCAGCGGCCGCGGUAAUACGUAGGGUGCAAGCGUUAAUCGGAAUUACUGGGCGUAAAGCGUGCGCAGGCGGUUCGGAAAGAAAGAUGUGAAAUCCCGACUUAACUUUGGAACUGCAUUUUUAACUACCGAGCUAGAGUGUGUCAGAGGGAGGUGGAAUUCCGCGUGUAGCAGUGAAAUGCGGCGUGGAGAAUAUGCGGAGGAACACCCGACGAAAGGCAGCCUCCUGGGAUAACGCGGCGCUCAUGCACGAAAGCGUCAGGGCAAACGGGAUUAGAUACCCUGGUAGUCCACGCCCUAAACGAUGUCAACUAGCUGUUGGGGCCUUCGGGCCUUGGUAGCGCAGCUAACGCGUGAAGUUGACCGCCUGGGGAGAGUACGGUCGCAAGAUUAAAAACUCAAAGGAAUUGACGGGGACCCGCACAAGCGGUGGAUGAUGGAUUAAUUCGAUGCAACGCGAAAAACCUUACCUACCCUUGACAUGUCUGGAAUCCCGAAGAGAUUUGGAGUGCUCGCAAGAAUUCCGGAACACAGGUGCUGCAUGGCUGUCGUCAGCUCGUGUCGUGAGAUGUUGGGUUAAGUCCCGCAGCGAGCGCAACCCUUGUCAUUAGUUGCUACGAAAGGGCACUCUAAUGAGACUGCCGGUGACAAACCGAAGGUGGGGAUGACGUCAGUCCUCAUGGCGCCGCGGGUAGGGCUUCACACGUCAUGCAAUGGUCGGGACAGAGGGUCGCCAACCCGCGAAGGCCAAUCCCAGAAACCCGAUCGUAGUCCGGAUCGCAGUCUCCCAGCUCGACUGCGUGAAGUCGGAAUCGCUGGUAAUCGCGGAUCAGCAUGUCGCGGUGAAUACGUUCCCGGGUCUUGUACACACCGCCCGUCACACCAUGGGAGUGGGUUUACCAGAAGUAGUUAGCCUAACCGUAAGGAGGGCGAUUACCACGGUAGGAUUCAUGACUGGGGGUGAAGUCGUAACAAGGUAA
rnacentral:rRNA from 1 species